UCCAAAUCUCAAAAAAACCCUAAUUCUUCAUUUCUGAUUUGGUGAACCAGUUUUAGCUCGCACGAAAUCACCAAUCCUUUUCUCCUUCGCCCCGCAGCCGGCACCGCCGCACCGGAGCAGGCAACUGGCACUGCAGUUUCGUAGCUGCCACCACCACCACAAGCGCGUCGCGCCACUGCUCUGUUCCGCCAUCCGCGGUUUCGCCGUCCGCCUUUUCUCGCCGUGACCCAGCUCUGUUCUUCUCCGUUCUCUGGGUACCCUCAAGGUGCCGUCCGCCUUUUCUCGCCGUGACCCAGCUCUGUUCUCCGUUCUCUGGGUACCCUCAAGGCGCCGUCCGCCUUUUCUCGCCGUGACCCAACUCUGUUCUUCUCCGUUCUCUGGGUACCCUCAAGGUUAGAUAGGUUUACCAAAGCAAGGUUGUGUGGUUGUCCUUUGAUCAAGUGUUGACGGUGAUUUCUCAGAAGAACCAUUCACAGAGGCUCACCAAGCACCAGAGCAAGAUGACUGAAAACAGUAAUAUUGAAGCAACAGGGAUGUCCGCUAGCAUUCAACCAUCUUCUCCGCCGUCAGGUGUUCGUAAGAAUCGGUCAGUUGUCUGGGAUCAUUUUGAUGUGGAGAAUGCUACCGAGAAGAAGGCUAAAUGCAAAUAUUGUGGUAGCUUAAUACAAUAUUGGAAUGGAACCAGCUCAAUGUGUGGUCAUUUGAGAAGAUGCAAGCAAAAUCCUAAUAAUGAUUCGAAC